rnacentral:rRNA from 1 species
GUCCACGCCCUAAACGAUGAUGACUAGUUGUUGGGGGAGUUAAAUCCCUUAGUAACGCAGCUAACGCGUGAAGUCAUCCGCCUGGGGAGUACGGUCGCAAGAUUAAAACUCAAAGGAAUUGACGGGGGCCCGCACAAGCGGUGGAUGAUGUGGUUUAAUUCGACGCAACGCGAAAACCUUACCUACCCUUGACAUGUGCGGAAUCCUGCAGAGAUGCAGGAGUGCCCGAAAGGGAACCGCAACACAGGUGCUGCAUGGCUGUCGU